ensembl:lncRNA
UAGCCAAGGACUUCACUGUACUAGGGUCACACAGAAUAGCUAUGACACUGCAAACACUUAUGAGUGGACAAAUUACUUUGUUGUAAAUAAAUCCUCUGUAUGAACAUCCUUAUACUCCAUUUGUUAUAAAUAUGCACUACUCCUAGGGUAAUGUGAGGAAAUAACAUGAAACUUCCACCAAUUAUAACUUAGAACAUUACAAUAUAGACUAUGAACCCCAAGUAAUCAUAGAAUCAUAGAAUCACCAAGGUUGGAAAAGACCCACAGGAUCAUCCAGUCCAACCAUUCGCCCUUCACCAAUGGUUCUCGCUAAACCACGUCCCUCAACACAACAUCCAAACGCUCUUUGAACACCACCAGGGUCAGUGACUCCACCACCUCUCUGGGCAGCCCAUUCCAGUUCGUGACCACCCUUUCAGAGAAGUAGUAUUUCCUAAUGUCCAGCCUGAAUCUUCCCUGGUGCAGCUUGAAGCCAUUCUCUCUCGUCCUAUCACUAGUCACACGAGAGAAGAGGCUGACCCCCAGCUCACUACAACCUCCCAUCAGGUAGUUAUAGAGAGCAAUAAGGUCUCCUCUGAGCCUCCUCUUCUCUAGACUGAACAAUCCCAGCUCCUUCAGCUGCUCCUCAUAAGGCCUGUGCUCCAGACCCCUCACCAGCUUUGUUGCCCUCCUCUGGACACGCUCCAGGGCCUCGAUGUCUUUCUUACAGUGAGGGGCCCAAAACUGGACACAGUACUCAAGGUGCGGCCUCACCAGUGCUGAGUACAGGGGGACAAUUACUUCCCUGUUCCUGCUGGCCACGCUAUUUCUGAUACAAGCCAGGAUGCUAUUGGCCUUCUUGGCCACCUGGGCACACUGCUGGCUCAUGUUCAGUCUAGCGUCAAUCAACACCCCCAGGUCCAUUUCCUCUACACAGUCUUCCAGCCACUCUGCCCCAAGCCUGUAGCGUUGCCUGGGGUUAUUGUGGCCAAAGUGCAGGACCCGGCAUUUGGUCUUGUUGAAUCCCAUCCCAUUGGUUUCAGCCCAGCUAUCCAACCUAUCCAGAUCCCUCUGUAAGGCCUCGCUACCCUCAGGCAGAUCAACGCUUCCAGCCAGCUUGGUGUCAUCUGCAAACUUACUGAGGGUGCACUCAAUACCCUCAUCCAGGUCAUCAAUAAAGAUAUUAAACAGGACAGGCCCCAGCACUGACCCCUGGGGAACACCAUCAUGAAGAAGAUGAUGGCUAAGACGUAAGAAAAAACAAAGUUUGCUUGUAUUUGAGGAAUGUUCUAUCUCCCAGUUAAA